rnacentral:rRNA from 1 species
UACGAAGGGGGCUAGCGUUGCUCGGAAUCACUGGGCGUAAAGGGCGCGUAGGCGGCCAUUCAAGUCGGAGGUGAAAGCCCAGGGCUCAACCCUGGAAUUGCCUUCGAUACUGUUUGGCUAGAGACCGGAAGAGGUAAGUGGAACUGCGAGUGUAGAGGUGAAAUUCGUAGAUAUUCGCAAGAACACCAGUGGCGAAGGCGGCUUACUGGUCCGGUUCUGACGCUGAGGCGCGAAGGCGUGGGGAGCAAACAGG